rnacentral:rRNA from 1 species
GACGUAGGGCGCGAGCGUUGUCCGGAAUUAUUGGGCGUAAAGAGCUCGUAGGCGGUCUGUCGCGUCGAAUGUGAAAACCCGGGGCUCAACCCCGGGCCUGCAUUCGAUACGGGCAGACUAGAGUUCGGUAGGGGAGUCUGGAAUUCCUGGUGUAGCGGUGAAAUGCGCAGAUAUCAGGAGGAACACCGGUGGCGAAGGCGGGACUCUGGGCCGAUACUGACGCUGAGGAGCGAAAGCGUGGGGAGCAAACAGG